GCAAACAAACAGGAAAGAGGCAGCUGCCCCCUUCACCAUUAGCGGGGUUUGGGUAACAGCCAUCAUGUUCUGGAAACGGAGCUGCUCUUCAAAGCCGUUGUGUUCCCACCAUCCCUCUUGAGACCCAGGAUGCCAGUGUGAAAACACAAGACUGGAAACAAGUGUGCGGAAGCUCCCUGGCAGCUCCUGCUGGAGACUCAGCAUCUGAGGUAUACACGUUCCAUUUUUCUUAUCUUACUACUUUCGUUGGGAUUUCCAAUAUUAUGUUGAAAAGCCGUACUGAGAGAGCAAUUCCUUGCCUUGUUCCAAAUCAUUAGGGACGAAGUGUUUCAUUUCUCACCAUUAACUGCUCUACACCAGUGUGGAGCCCAGUGCGGGC